rnacentral:misc_RNA from 1 species
GAUGAAGAACGUAGCGAAAUGCGAUAAGUAAUGUGAAUUGCAGAAUUCAGUGAAUCAUCGAAUCUUUGAACGCACAUUGCGCCCGCCAGUAUUCUGGCGGGCAUGCCUGUUCGAGCGUCAUUUCAACCAUCAAGCCCCCGGCUUGUGUUGGGGACCUGCGGCUGCCGCAGGCCCUGAAAUGCAGUGGCGGGCUCGCUGUCACUCCGAGCGUAGUAGUUACAUCUCGCUCUGGGCGUGCUGCGGGUUCCGGCCGUUAAAAGCCUUAUUUACCCAAGGUUGACCUCGGAUCAGGUAGGAAGACCCGCUGAACUUAAGCAUAUCAAUAAGCGGAGGA